UUGUUAAUGUAGCCUAUAUAUUCCUAUAAUAUAUAGACGGUUACAAGCCCGAUAAAUACAGAGUUGUAA
rnacentral:ribozyme from 2 species